rnacentral:hammerhead_ribozyme from 1 species
AUCCAGUUGAUGAGUCCCAAAUAGGACGAAAUGCGUAUCCUAGUAU